UGUCGGGUGGCGAAGUGGUCGAACGCGCCUUGUGGGGAGUGCCCCGCUAGGUAUUGGAAGCUAUGGAAACAUAAGAAACAUAGUAACCAUCGACGCUGGUUCGAAUCCAGCCCCGACAA